rnacentral:misc_RNA from 1 species
UGGCUCUCGCAUCGAUGAAGAACGCAGCGAAAUGCGAUACGUAAUGUGAAUUGCAGAAUUCAGUGAAUCAUCGAAUCUUUGAACGCACCUUGCACUCUUUGGUAUUCCGAAGAGUAUGUCUGUUUGAGUGUCAUGAAAUUCUCAACCCCCCUAUUUUGUAACGAGAUGGGAGUUAGGGCUUGGAUUAUGGCCGUAUGCCGGACCUUUAAGUAGGGCCAGCUCGGCUGAAAUACAUGAGCAGCGUACUUUGAAAAAGGCGGCUUGACUCGGCGUAAUAGCUUAUUCGCUGAGAACGUCUGUUCGAAAACAGCAGCUUCUAAUGCAAUACAUUUUAAGCUUUAGACCUCAAAUCAGUCAGGAUUACCCGCUGA